AUGGACAGGACCCACAGGAUCCUCUUCUUGGCGUCAGCAGCCACCGGUGCCCACUCCCAGGUGCAGCUGGUGCAGUUUGGGCCUGAGGUGAAGCAGCCUGUGGCCUCAGUGAAGGUCUUCUGCAAGGCUUCUGGUUACAGCUUUACCACCUAUGGUAUGAAUUGGGUGAGACAGGUCCCUGGAGAAGGGCUUGAGUGGAUGGGAUGGAUGAACAUCAACACUGGGAACCCAAUGUAUGCCCAGGGCUAAACAGGACGGUUUGUCUUCUCCAUGGACACCUCUGUCAGCACAGUGUACCUGCAGAUCAGCAGCCUAAAGGCUGAGGACACGGCCGUGCAUUACUGUAUGAGAGCCAUAGUGUGGACACCCACAUCCUGA